rnacentral:rRNA from 1 species
GUGGGGAAUAUUGCACAAUGGGCGAAAGCCUGAUGCAGCAACGCCGCGUGAGCGAUGAAGGUCUUCGGAUCGUAAAGCUCUGUCCUCAAGGAAGAAUUUUGACGGUACUUGAGGAGGAAGCCCCGGCUAACUACGUGCCAGCAGCCGCGGUAAUACGUAGGGGGCUAGCGUUAUCCGGAAUUAUUGGGCGUAAAGGGUGCGUAGGCGGUCCUACAAGUCAGAGGUGAAAGGCUACGGCUCAACCGUAGUAAGCCUUUGAAACUGUAGGACUUGAGUGCAGGAGAGGAGAGUGGAAUUCCCAGUGUAGCGGUGAAAUGCGUAGAUAUUGGGAGGAACACCAGUUGCGAAGGCGGCUCUCUGGACUGUAACUGACGCUGAGGCACGAAAGCGUGGGGAGCGAACAGGAUUAGAAACCCCUGUAGUCC